ACAUAACAGAACAAGUUUUUGAAGCAUUGCAAUUGGGUUUUCUGUAGACUUGAAUAUUCGCUCUCUCUUCUAAACAUUUAACAGUAAUUUUACCCCAUGUUGGAAGAGCACCAUGCUCCCUGAGUAUAAUAACCCGCUUAAAGAAUUAAAAAAAGAAAUAGUAAGGUUUGCAGGUGACCUUAAUUUCAAUACAACAUUUUAACCCGUC
rnacentral:lncRNA from 1 species